rnacentral:misc_RNA from 1 species
CGCACAUUGCGCCCAUUAGUAUUCUAGUGGGCAUGCCUGUUCGAGCGUCAUUUCAACCCUUAAGCCUCUUGUUGCUUAGCGUUGGGAGCCUGCGUUACAGCAGCUCCCCAAAGUUAGCUGGCGGAGUUAGGAUGUACUCUGAGCGUAGUAAUUUUUCUCGCUUUCUGUAGUCGUCCUGGCCCCGGCCAUUAAACCCCCCAUUUUGCAAUGGUUGACCUCGGAUCAGGUAGGAAUACCCGCUGAACUUAA